rnacentral:rRNA from 1 species
UCGGGAAUUUUGGGCAAUGGGCGAAAGCCUGACCCAGCAACGCCGCGUGAAGGAUGAAGUAUUUCGGUAUGUAAACUUCGAAAGAAUAGGAAGAAUAAAUGACGGUACUAUUUAUAAGGUCCGGCUAACUACGUGCCAGCAGCCGCGGUAAUACGUAGGGACCAAGCGUUGUUCGGAUUUACUGGGCGUAAAGGGCGCGUAGGCGGUGUGUCAAGUCAGUUGUGAAAUCUCCGAGCUUAACUCGGAACGGUCAACUGAUACUGUCACACUAGAGUACAGAAGGGGCAAUCGGAAUUCUUGGUGUAGCGGUGAAAUGCGUAGAUAUCAAGAGGAACACCUGAGGCGAAGGCGGGUUGCUGGGCUGAUACUGACGCUGAGGCGCGAAAGCUAGGGUAGCAAACGGGAUUAGAUACCCCCGUAGUCCCUGAGCGGGCUGGCAAGGCGCAU